AAUAACUUUAUUACUAACACAAUUAUUACACAAUAAUACCAAUAUUUUCUUUCUCACGAUGACUAGCUGCUGCUAGUAUUUUACACUUGGCUGAUACUUCACAUGCACACACAUACAUUACUUACAUGUAUAGCAUAGUUAACCGACUUCAAACUAGCCGUCAUUCUUAUCCAUUCGCUUAGAGUUUGUAGAAUCAUGUAGAACCAAUCUUGCCGCCUUUCCUUGCUUUGCCAAGUUGUUCGGUUUGUCGUCAACAUUUUUGACAGGCAAGCUGGUAUCAAUAUCUGAAGAACCUGUAUAAAGUAGGAAGAAAUGACAGUUUUUCAGCCAUACUUGAACAGUUUUCCCUUUAGUCCUGCAUAGUUUUACCAUGGAUAAGUUGCUGCCAUUGUCCUCCACCUUCCUCGUCUUCAUUUUCAUGGUGUUUAAGCUUAGAUCCAAAA
rnacentral:lncRNA from 1 species